UGUGACCGGAGGUGGGUUAAUGAUUGGAGGGAGAAGUCCUGGAGGAGUUGGGACUGGAGGGAGAAGUCCCGGAGGAGUUGAGAUAGGAGGGAGGAGUCCCGGAGGAGUUGUAACGGGCGGUGGUUGAAUUGGAGGGCUUAUGAUCGGAGGUCUUGUGAUUGGCGGUGGCCUCACGAUUGGUGGUGGAUAGACAACCGGAGGAGGUCUUAUGAUUGGCGGUGGUCUCACCACUACCGGAGGAGGUCUAACAAUCGGCGGUGAUUUCCCUCCUCCUCCUCCACCAUGAUGCGGCGGUCCUCCACCUUUCCCACCGUGGUGUGGGGGUUUAGCACCACCUUUCCCACCGUGAUGCG
rnacentral:lncRNA from 1 species